rnacentral:rRNA from 1 species
GGGUGGUAAUGCCGGAUGUUCCACAUGAUCGCAUGUGAUUGUGGGAAAGAUUUCAUCGGCGUGGGAUGGGGUCGCGUCCUAUCAGCUUGUUGGUGAGGUAACGGCUCACCAAGGCUUCGACGGGUAGCCGGCCUGAGAGGGCGACCGGCCACAUUGGGACUGAGAUACGGCCCAGACUCCUACGGGAGGCAGCAGUGGGGAAUAUUGCACAAUGGGCGCAAGCCUGAUGCAGCGACGCCGCGUGAGGGAUGGAGGCCUUCGGGUUGUAAACCUCUUUUGUUUGGGAGCAAGCCUUCGGGUGAGUGUACCUUUCGAAUAAGCGCCGGCUAACUACGUGCCAGCAGCCGCGGUAAUACGUAGGGCGCAAGCGUUAUCCGGAUUUAUUGGGCGUAAAGGGCUCGUAGGCGGCUCGUCGCGUCCGGUGUGAAAGUCCAUCGCUUAACGGUGGAUCUGCGCCGGGUACGGGCGGGCUGGAGUGCGGUAGGGGAGACUGGAAUUCCCGGUGUAACGGUGGAAUGUGUAGAUAUC